CUCAUAUCAUCCUCAUGGAGUCGGUUUCUAAUCGUUUGUGCAGACACAUGCACAUUUGUGGCCUGCUGGAGGUCAUUUUGCUGGGCGCUGGCAGUGCUCCUUCUGUUCCUCCUUGCACAAAGGCGGAGGUAGCGGUCCUGCUGCUGGGUUGUUGCCCUCCUACGGCCUCCUCCACGUCUCCUGGUGUACUGGCCUGUCUCCUGGUAGUGCUUCCAGGCUCUGGACACUAUGCUGGCAGACACAGCAAACCUUGCUACAGCUCGCAUUGAUUUUUUUGAGCAGUGUAUAAACUGAACUAGACAUAUACAUGGUAACUACAAAAGAAAUUGAUGUGGUCAGUAAUUGUGGGCUGUAGUCGCCAUGGUGCACUGUACACAACGAUAAAGCACUUUAUCUUGUAGGUCCUAGAGAUGAGUCAAUCAGCCCAAUGAAUAAAGCUAGAGAGUCUGUAAAAAUAUUUCAAUGACUGAUGACAACAAGUAAUUUUAAAGAGUUUAAAGUUUUAAAGAAUUACCGUCCUGUUUUUUUUAUAUCUAUGUCAGGAUCUGGAUUUUUGUCUGUUUUGGUGCUGUUACUUUGCUUAGCCACUAGAUGGUGCGGAACCUGGAGAAGAGGCGACAGGUGUUCACCAUUUCCUUGAUCACCUGCUGAGGAGUAUUUAAGGAGGAUGCUGUCAACAACUCGUUGCCAGAGUGUUGUCCAUUAGUGGAAUACCUGAACCAGAACCUAACCUUGCCUUGUGGUGAACACAGCUAGGAUUUACCUUUUCCUGUGGAAGAGCCAUUCUUCUUCAUGAAUCAAGAACCGCACCUCUCGGACCUCGCUGGUUGGCAGCCUCCUGGAUUCCUCACUCCUCACCGAGCCUAUAAGAACCUCGUCCACCUUCCUCCUUUUUCCACCGCGCCGACUUCUGUAUUCCUGGACCCAUUAAUCAUCCUGGCACACAUUACCUUCAUCCUAAUCUGUCUCACGGCUAAACAACAUCCUGGUCUCUCCACUUUCCUCCCUCUGGCGGAUCACUCCAUUAACCAAUUGGUUUCUCGGUUCCUGUUUCCCUGCCCAAGUCACUUCACUGUAAAUAAAACACAUUACCAUAAA